rnacentral:rRNA from 1 species
UUUGAGGAGCCCGCGGCCUAUCAGCUUGUUGGUGAGGUAACGGCUCACCAAGGCAUUGACGGGUAGCUGGUCUGAGAGGACGACCAGUCACACUGGGACUGAGACACGGCCCAGACACCUACGGGUGGCAGCAGUCGAGAAUUUUUCUCAAUGGGGGAAACCCUGAAGGAGCGACGCCGCGUGGAGGAUGAAGGUCUUCGGAUUGUAAACUCCUGUCAUUUGGGAACAAGGUGUGUGCGUUAACUGCGCGCGCAUUGAUAGUACCAGAAGAGGAAGAGACGGCUAACUCUGUGCCAGCAGCCGCGGUAAUACAGAGGUCUCAAGCGUUGUUCGGAUUCAUUGGGCGUAAAGGGUGCGUAGGCGGCGCGGUAAGUCGGGUGUGAAAUUUCGAGGCUUAACUUCGAAACUGCAUUCGAUACUGCCGUGCUUGAGGACUGGAGAGGAGACUGGAAUUUACGGUGUAGCGGUGAAAUGCGUAGAUAUCGUAAGGAAAACCAGUGGCGAAGGCGGGUCUCUGGACAGUUCCUGACGCUGAGGCACGAAGGCCAGGGGAGCAAACGGGAUUAGAUACCCCGGUAGUCCUGGCAAUAAACGGUGCACGUUUGGUGUGGGAGGAUUCGACCCCUUCUGCGCCGGAGCUAACGCGUUAAACGUGCCGCCUGGGGAGUACGGUCGCAAGAUUAAAACUCAAAGAAAUUGACGGGGGCCCGCACAAGCGGUGGAGUAUGUGGCUUAAUUCGAUGCAACGCGAAGAACCUUACCUGGCCUUGACAUGCAUCUCUAAGCUGGUGAAAGCCAGUGAGUCCCGAAAGGGACAAUUUGCACAGGUGCUGCAUGGCUGUCGUCAGCUCGUGUCGUGAGAUGUUGGGUUAAGUCCCGCAACGAGCGCAACCCCUGUGAACUGUUGCCACCGGCCCGUGAGGGUCGAGCACUCUGUUCAGACUGCC